GGAUUCUCCUGCCUCAGCCUCCCAAGUAGCUGGGUUUACAGGCAUGUGCCACCAUGCCUGGCUAAUUUUGUAUUUUUAGUAGGGACAGGUUUUCUCCCUGCUGGUCAGGCUGGUCUCGAACUCCUGACCUCAGGUGAUCCACCUGCCUCAGCCUCCCAAAGUGCUGGGAUUACAGGUGUAAGCUACCAUGCCCGGCCAGGAAUAUAAUUUUUAAAAAUAUCAAAAUGCAUGAUACUGAGAAAAGAUACGUAUUAUUCUGUUAAUCUUUGAUUUUGGAUUUACUUAUAGAUACAUAGCAACACAAGUAUGUGUACUGGGAGUAUCAUGGAUGUAUUUUUUAAUUGUAGGUCAUCCUCAAAAAAGUCUGAAAGCUGUUAAUUAGAGAUUCUUGCCAAGAAAGAAAAAAAGAAAAGACAACAGAGCCUCAUCCUGAAAAGAAAAAGCCUGAAAACCUAGGGAUACAUGAGAAACAUCUGCCGCAUACUAGCGCAGCAAGGAAACCACUCACCAAUAAACAGUAAUUUAACUGUAAAAGGAAUGCUUCACACAUAAUGAAAGCAGUUCCUUUAUCUUCAAAGGAAAACUAUUAAUGAAGGAAGAAAGGGUUUUAGAGUACUCUGCAGGAAGGUGGCAUUGCUCUUACCUGCCUCUAUAUCAAAAUGCCAAUAUAGAAACACACUCCCACAAUCAUUUUAUAACACUUGGCAUCCAUUGUGACCAGAGCAGAAAUUUUAUCUACACUUCAAAGUGUUUCCUAUUUCAGACUCUUCAAGAUAACCAAAAAAGGAUUCUGUCUUCAGUAUGCCUGAAAAAGUAGGGAAAGAUGAUUUUUUGUUUUUCAGGUUUUUUACAACAUCUGUUUACGCAUGUCACAGCCAAACAACAUCAGUUGCUAGCCACACAAAACAGGGGCAAUGAAAUGAAUGUGUCAAACUGUGGGAGAAUUCUAAUGGUGCUUUACUGAGAACUCCCUUCUCUCUUGCACCCACAUUCUGCCAAUUUCCAAUAUGCCAGCUAUUGGACAGCACUGGGGAGAAGUUAUAACCCUCCAGAAACAGCCUAAAAAUUCCUUUGUGGACUUAAAGGGAUAAGAGAAAAUUGAAAGGCCUGGGCUUCAAACUUUUAACAAAGAAGGAUUUGAGAAGGAAUGUGAUUCAACAGGAUACGCAUAGCCCAAUUACUUAGAUGACUUAUGAUCGAAGUCUUAAACCAGUUGCCAAUGUCAACUCCUCAUGUGGUUACUGUCAAGUAGGGAACCCUGUUUCUUUAUGCAUGAGACUGAAGAGUAGAGACAUGGGGGAAGGAUGACAGAAAAAAAGAAAGUAUGCAUAACACACUGUAAAGUGGGAAGUGAUACAUAACUAAACAAAUGAUAAAAUCAUAUCAAACAAUAUUAAGUCUUUUUCCUAUAGCUUCAGAAAGAAUAUUUCAACUAAUUGGGUCACUGGAAAACAAUAAUUUUAUAUAGCAUUCUGAUAAAUAGGUCCACAGGCUAAACAAUUUUUUUUUAAAGUUACUUAUCAAUGUAUUCAAGCUGUGUGUUUGAUCCGCAAAGAGAUAGGGUUUCAGUUUAUACUUGCUGUUUGUUGAAGC
rnacentral:lncRNA from 1 species